GCCAGGUGUGGUGGUGUACACCUGUAAUCCCAGCAGCUCAGGAGGCUGAAGCAGGAGGAUUGCAAGUUUGAGUCCAGUGUCAGUAUCUUAGAAAGACCCUCAGCAACUUAGCAAGAUCCUGUCUCAA
rnacentral:sRNA from 1 species